rnacentral:rRNA from 1 species
GACAGAGGUGCCAAGCGUUAGGCGGAAUCACUGGGCUUAAAGCGUGUGUAGGCGGACUUGUAAGUACCUUGUGAAAUCCCACGGCUCACCCGUGGAACUGCUGGGUAUACUGCGAGUCUUGAGCCACUUAGGGGCUGUCGGAACAGGCGGUGGAGCGGUGAAAUGCGUAGAUAUCGCCUGGAACGCCGAAGGUGAAAACAGACAGCUGGGAGUGUGCUGACGCUGAGACACGAAAGCCAGGGGAGCGAACGGG